rnacentral:sRNA from 1 species
ACCUCGGUAUUCAGACCUGCACAUCAGUCAGACGCUCCCCAAAACCAACAAAAUCAACAAGGACCACAUCCCUGUCCCUUACCAGCCAGACUCCAGCAGCAACCCCUCCUCCACGACGUCCUCCACGCCCUCCUCGCCAGCACCCCCCCUCCCUCCUAGUGCCACGCCGCCUUCUCCCCUACACCCUUCCCCGCAGUGCACACGGCAGCAGAAGAACUUCAACCUGCCAGGUACCUCCAUGCUUGGGGAGACAUGGGGGGUGCAGCCUUGGAGGGGCAGAGAUUAGGGAGAGGGUGGGUUCACACCAGAGCCCUGAUGCAGCAAGUCUCUGCUGGAAAGCGAAUGGGUCAAUGACCAGAGAGGGGCAAAGAAGUAUGUGGACUGACCCUUAUCGUAUCCUAAGCAAUUACCCUAUAUCACUUAUUUAAUCUUUGGAACAGCCACAAGGUAAGCAUUAUCAUCUCAUUUUACAGAUG